UACGGGGGGGUGCGAGCGUUGUCCGGAAUCACUGGGCGUAAAGGGCGCGUAGGUGGUUUGAUAAGGGUGUGGUGAAAGCCCGGGGCUCAACCCCGGGUCUGCCGUGCCGACUGUCAAACUCGAGGGCUGUAGAGGCAGACGGAAUUCCGGGUGUAGUGGUGGAAUGCGUAGAGAUCCGGAGGAACACCAGCGGCGAAGGCGGCAUCCUGGACUGGUCCUGACACUCAGGAGCGAAAGCGUGGGGAGCGAGUCCGG
rnacentral:rRNA from 1 species